AAUCUAUCACAAUCCACACAACCGUGAACUUAUACUGUUGGCCUCUAAAUGGGAGACGAAAUAAACUUCGGUUUAUUUCCGUUCCCUGUUUAGGCUAGGCGGUAUGUGCUGAGUGUGUAUGUGUAUACAUACACAUGGCGCGCAUACAUGCCUAGGUCGUUGCCAAUUAAUUUAAUUAAUUGACAGCGUCGGUCUUUUACUAACCAACCAACACCAAACCAACUUAAUUAUUUUAAUCGAGUGCCCAGCUUAGAGCUGACACUCACCAACCAAGACAACUCUCAACAACGGAUAUCUUGGCUCUCAGAUCGAUGAAGAACGCAGCGAAAUGCGAUACGUAGUGUGAAUUGCAGAAAUACGUGAAUCAUCGAAUCUUUGAACGCAUAUUGCGCUCGAGGCUUCGGCCAAGAGCAUGUCUGCCUCAGCGUCGGGUUAAUACUCGCUCCCUAUAUACAUGGGGAACGGAACUGGCUGUCUCGGCGGUUAUUUAAUUAACUGCCGGGUCAGUUGAAGUAUGCAGAGGUUAUUGCAUGGACCCGUUUAUGGGCCUCUACUGGGUAGGCAACUUGCUUGCUAAUGCUUUAGUAGAUGGCCUGGGACCGUGUGUGUUUUAACCCAAACCAGGAACUCAAUUUUCAUUGAGCAACUGUUUAUUUUCGACCUGAGCUCAGGCAAGA
rnacentral:sRNA from 1 species